GAUGAACGCUGGCGGCGUGCCUAAUACAUGCAAGUCGAGCGAACAGACGAGGAGCUUGCUCCUCUGACGUUAGCGGCGGAAGGGUGAGUAACACGUGGAUAACCUACCUAUAAGACUGGGAUAACUUCGGGAAACCGGAGCUAAUACCGGAUAAUAUAUUGAACCGCAUGGUUCAAUAGUGAAAGACGGUUUUGAUGUCACUUCUAGAUGGAUCCGCGCCGCAUUAGCUAGUUGGUAAGGUAACGGCUUACCAAGGCGACGAUGCGUAGCCGACCUGAGAGGGUGAUCGGCCACACUGGAACUGAGACACGGUCCAGACUCCUACGGGAGGCAGCAGUAGGGAAUCUUCGGAAAUGGGCGAAAGCCUGACGGAGCAACGCCGCGUGAGUGAUGAAGGUCUUCGGAUCGGAAAACUCUGUUAUUAGGGAAGAACAAAUGUGUAAGUAACUAUGCACGUCUUGACGGUACCUAAUCAGAAAGCAACGGCUAACUACGUG
rnacentral:rRNA from 1 species